rnacentral:rRNA from 1 species
AUUGAACGCUGGCGGCAUGCUUUACACAUGCAAGUCGAACGGUAACAGGUUAAGCUGACGAGUGGCGAACGGGUGAGUAAUGCAUCGGAACGUGCCCGGUCGUGGGGGAUAACGUAGCGAAAGCUGCGCUAAUACCGCAUACGAUCUGAGGAUGAAAGCGGGGGACCGUAAGGCCUCGCGCGAUCGGAGCGGCCGAUGUCAGAUUAGGUAGUUGGUGGGGUAAAGGCUCACCAAGCCAACGAUCUGUAGCUGGCCUGAGAGGACGACCAGCCACACUGGGACUGAGACACGGCCCAGACUCCUACGGGAGGCAGCAGUGGGGAAUUUUGGACAAUGGGCGAAAGCCUGAUCCAGCAAUGCCGCGUGCAGGAAGAAGGCCUUCGGGUUGUAAACUGCUUUUGUACGGAGCGAAAAGGUCUCCUCUAAUACAGGGGGCUCGUGACGGUACCGUAAGAAUAAGCACCGGCUAACUACGUGCCAGCCGCCGCCGUAA